rnacentral:rRNA from 1 species
UACGGAGGGUGCGAGCGUUGUCCGGAAUCACUGGGCGUAAAGGGCGCGUAGGCGGCCUGAUAAGUAGGGGGUGAAAUCCUGCGGCUUAACCGCAGGGCUGCCUUCUAAACUGUCAGGCUAGAGCACAGUAGAGGCAGGUGGAAUUCCCGGUGUAGCGGUGGAAUGCGUAGAGAUCGGGAAGAACAUCAGUGGCGAAGGCGGCCUGCUGGGCUGUUGCUGACGCUGAGGCGCGACAGCAUGGGGAGCAAACAGG